rnacentral:rRNA from 1 species
AGCAGUCGCCGCGGGAAUACGAAGGGGGCUAGCGUUGUUCGGAAUUACUGGGCGUAAAGCGCACGUAGGCGGAUAUUUAAGUCAGGGGUGAAAUCCCGCAGCUCAACUGCGGAACUGCCUUUGAUACUGGGUAUCUUGAGUAUGGAAGAGGUUAGUGGAAUUGCGAGUGUAGAGGUGAAAUUCGUAGAUAUUCGCAGGAACACCAGUGGCGAAGGCGGCUAACUGGUCCAUAACUGACGCUGAGGUGCGAAAGCGUGGGGAGCAAACAGGAUUAGAUACCCGGGUAGUCCCUGUCUCUUAUAC